GCCCUGUCCCGCCGCGUCGCGGCCUCUCCGCACCCCACGUCCCGGGAGCCGACCGGGAGACUCUCACGGCGGAGUUCCACAGACCUCGUUAGGUUAAAGGAACCUCGCCUUGCCCCCCACUAAUCGGCUAGAGAGGGAGGCCGGCGAAACAAAAGCCGUAGAGGAAAAUUAAGCGACUUCCCCCUCGGCGGGGAACUUGGAGGUGGGGGAGCGGGGAGCGGCGCGGGGCGCAAGGAGAAGGAAGUGCUGAGCUGGGUUGCCGACGAACCCCGGGCAGGGGGAGGUGGGGGGCUGCGGCAGAAGAAAGACAAACAUCUGGGGAUCGGACCAUAUGCCGGAGCUUUGUCUUGUCCUUCAAAGUUCGGCUGCCCUUGAAGUGAUUUGUCAGGCGGCCCACGGGUGACAGGGAGGAUGUGCAGCGGGGAGCGGGGGCGGGACAUGCCGGGGGGAGCGGAGAGGGCUAGAAGAGAGGGGAGGAAGGGGGGACGCCAACAAGAGGGGGAGCAAAGUGACCCCGCCGCCCGAGGAACGGUAGAAACCGGGAUCGCGGAGGUGCGAGCCCGAGCCCGGGAGCGGAGCGCUUCCCGGGGAGACGCCAAGACGGCGAGAAAGGAGGAGCGGGAACGCAGAGGUUAAGCGGAGGGAAGGCCGAGGAGAAACAGCCAGAGGACGGGAAGGAGGAAAUAGACGGGGAGAAGAAACUGAAGAUUAGUCGUUGAGGUGUAUUAAGAAAGAGGACAUGUCGCCUAUUUUAGGAAAAGUGGCUUUGAGCUCCCCCCGCACCCCCACCAUUUUUUCUUUCUCUUUUGCCCGCCAACCGCUGAACUGAUUAGACUGUAAUUAAGGCCAUAAAGCCCUCAGAUUAUACACCUGUUUAUUCACUGAAGUCGGGGUCUCAUCAAGCAAAUUAGCUGCUUGCAGGCUACACAUUGGGCCUCGAGCUUGCCUGAUUAAUGAAGUUUAUUGGGAGCUGUUAAAAGCAUUAACUGGAGAAAAUCUCAGCAAUUCGUCAUAUUUAAGGGAUGAAAAUUAAAUCUUGCUAUGCAAAUGAGAAAAAAAUUUUAAACCAUCUUUGGGGGGUUACUGUCUGCAUAUUAUUUUGCUUUAAAAUUCUGUUCAGGAAAUAGGAAUUAACAUGAAAUAUUAUUUGCCCUUAAAGUUAUCAAAAAUAUUGAAUCGCACCUUAUGUGGCAUUGUGGGGAGAGAAAAAGAAAACAUAAGGAAAUUCCCAUAUAGUCCGUUUCCCAGUGCAAAGAAUUUUCUAAGACACCUAAUCACAAAGCCAACUUUCACGAGAAACCCAGUUUUUAAAAUUAAUGUAUCCAGUUACAGAAUGAGAUUUGGGAGUAGUCCUUCAAGGGGUUUAAUGUUUGAUGGUGGGUGGGGGGGACGAUGAAAUCAGCAGAGAGAGGAGGGGAGUUCAUGUAAGUGCCCUGGAUAAGGAGCACGUGUGAGAAUGGCAGAAAAGCAGUAGAGUGGCAAGAAAAAGUAUCCAAAAUGAAUCAAUACUCUCAUAAACUGGCUGUAGAAAAUGUUUCUGUACAGUGUUUUUUACUGUAACCACUAUGGUUCUUUGGACAGGUCGGGGAAGGUGUGAUUAUGAAAAUAAACAAGGGAAGUGAGGGAAAUAUAACCAAGUGGAAAAAGGAAAUGGAGUGCAAAUUGAGAACAUAAUCCAGAAUUCGUAAAAGUGGUAUGGAUAAAGAAGGUCAAAAUGGUCUCUGAUGAAAAGAAACUUUUAAAAUGCUUGGAAAAGUUAAUGAAUUAGAUUUCCCUGCACUUGAAGAUAUUAGGAUUGGGAGAUCAAGACUCCCAUCAGCCAAAUCAAGAAUAUUCACAAUUGACAGGAAAACUCAAAGUUUCUUUUUCCCCACCAGAGAAAUGUCUCCCACCCCCAUAGCUAAACAGUGGGCAGCCUUUUGAGUCUAGAAAGGUCAGUAACAGGAUUUUAUUUUGAUACAUGAUAUGACCUAAUUAUUUCACAUGUUGCAGAAAUCCGAAGUGGGUAGAGCGUGCCUUUUUUUUUUCUUUGAGGUAAGUCUAAAUUGCAACAGCUAAAAUGCCUUCCUAUAACUGUAAUGAGAUCAGUGGGUUUCAAGUAUGGAAUGAAUCAAUUAUUGUAAGCAAAGCCCCUGCGUAAAUCAUGGAAUGCCAAACCAACCUCAGGAUUAUAAAAUGAAUCUGUGACAAGUAUUCAGGGUUUCCACAUAGUCUCAAUAAUGAGAAUGAAGUACCUAGUAUUAAGUGAAAGCAAAAUUUUAUUCCCUUACUAAGGAAUACAUGCAUAUCUAUUAAAAGAGGCCAGAUUGAAUGAAGCUUUUUAAAAAGGGUAUCUAAGCAGCAUUAAAGAUAGAAAUCUAUGAUAAAUAUGUAUAGUUUAUAUUAAAAAGAGAAAGAUGCCAAAAGCACAUUGAAUGAAAUGAGUGAGACAUAACUAUGUUAACGGAAAAAUAAUAAAGUAGUUCUUUAUAUUUUUAUUUUAAUAAAACUUUUUAAACAACAACAAUCAAAAGAUUAUUAUAAAAGAAAUCAGGACUACCACAGUCAGUCUUAGCAAUUCUUGGAAUUUGAUGUCUCUCAACUGGGAAGAAUAAUAGAAUGUAAACUUUUAACAGAAGUGAAGACAGGAAAAUGUCAAUUGUAUUAUUUUUGAUGUACUGCUGUAAGGCAGACAGAUUCUAAAAGGCUUGGGAGAUUUGGCUUAAAUCAGAUAGUUCCCUCCUGCACACAUUCCAGCAGUCUCCUUGCCUCUUUCUUUUCCUUUCCUUUAAGAUAACUGUAUCACAUUAAUUUGCUGUAACUAGUUGUUUAGUAGCUUUACAAUUUACCAUUGUUAAUGCCAAGUCAGAAAUGUAAAUAAUAGUAGCAUGUUUACCAGUUGUUGCCAAUUUACUAACACUUUAAUGCUUAUGAUAGGGUGUAUGUGGUUUUUUACAAAACAUGUUGAGUGAUGCAAAAAGAAUAUACUUUUUCCUGGCUUUUCCUGUUCCAAUUACAUACUUCUGGAAAUUAUUUAGGUUCUGUACUACCUAGAAUCAGAUAUUAAUUAAACUAAUAAAUAUUAAACUUAAAAUCUUUUUUUAAAACUUAAAAUCUUAAUACACAUAAAAACUUUA
rnacentral:lncRNA from 10 species